CGAAAAUUAAUUUAUUCAACAUGGCGGUCUCAUUAAAAAGUCACCGUAUAUAAAUGACUUUUCAGCAAUAUUGCUGUGCAGCACAAAAAAUCACAGUGAAUCUUGACCUGUCCUCUUGGCGAUGGUAAAUGAUCAGAUACCUGUGUUGUUGCAGGCAGACCUGUAGGGAUUGAAGCAGCGAUGUAUCUUGUCACAAGCAUUUGCAGUCGGACAUCCUUGUAACUCAAAAGUAACAAAGCAUACUGAUCAGAAAUAUUCAGAAAGUGGAAAAGACAAGAAAGAGUACAUGAUACUUGUGGCUCAAAUCUGGCCUUUACAAGUAUAGUUUCCUAUUGAGAACUGGAAGGAUCAAGUUACAGCCCCUCCAAAUCCACACAAACACCUUGGAACCUCCAACUCAAUUGUACGAACCACACCCAUAACCAAAUAUAUGAAUGGGGAAUUUUUGAGUGUCAAGUCAGCUUGAAAAUGUCAGGGCGUCAUGUGGAGAACAUCACACAAAGUAUAGAACAUAUUGAGUAUAUUUAGAGAUGGGUGUGUUUCCUGACCAACAAAGGAAAUUUGAUCCAGUAAACCCACCUACUAAUGUGGAAUAUCCUUAUACAUAGAUAUGUGUAUCCUGAAUUCUGGCUGUGGGCCGAAUUCCUAGACUCUUCCAUAAUGUAUGAAUAUGUCAGUUGACCCAGGGUCAGGAGUAUGAUGCCAUGUCCAAGUCCAGCAGAAAUAUAGAAAACAUUUUGUAUAAUUAAAAGGCUUA